rnacentral:rRNA from 1 species
UACGGGGGGGGCAAGCGUUGUUCGGAAUUACUGGGCGUAAAGGGCUCGUAGGCGGCCAACUAAGUCAGACGUGAAAUCCCCAGGCUCAACCUGGGAACUGCGUCUGAUACUGGAUGGCUUGAAUCCGGGAGAGGGAUGCAGAAUUCCAGGUGUAGCGGUGAAAUGCGUAGAUAUCGGGAGGAACACCAGUGGCGAAGGCAGCUCGCUGGGACGGUACUGACGCUGAGGCGCGAAAGCCAGGGGAGCAAACGGG